GACGAACGCUGGCGGCGUGCUUAACACAUGCAAGUCGAACGGAAAGGCUCCUGCUUGCAGGGGUACUCGAGUGGCGAACGGGUGAGUAACACGUGGGUGAUCUGCCUUGUACUCUGGGAUAAGCUUGGGAAACUGGGUCUAAUACCGGAUAGUAGCCGCCUUUAGUGUGGUGGUUGGAAAGUUUUUUCGGUGCAAGAUGAGCUCGCGGCCUAUCAGCUUGUUGGUGGGGUAAUGGCCUACCAAGGCGUCGACGGGUAGCCGGCCUGAGAGGGUGUACGGCCACAUUGGGACUGAGAUACGGCCCAGACUCCUACGGGAGGCAGCAGUGGGGAAUAUUGCACAAUGGGCGGAAGCCUGAUGCAGCGACGCCGCGUGGGGGAUGACGGCCUUCGGGUUGUAAACUCCUUUCGACAGGGACGAAGCUUUUGUGACGGUACCUGUAUAAGAAGCACCGGCUAACUACGUGCCAGCAGCCGCGGUAAUACGUAGGGUGCGAGCGUUGUCCGGAAUUACUGGGCGUAAAGAGCUCGUAGGUGGUUUGUCGCGUCGUCUGUGAAAUUCCGGGGCUUAACUCCGGGCGUGCAGGCGAUACGGGCAUAACUUGAGUGCUGUAGGGGAGACUGGAAUUCCUGGUGUAGCGGUGAAAUGCGCAGAUAUCAGGAGGAACACCGAUGGCGAAGGCAGGUCUCUGGGCAGUAACUGACGCUGAGGAGCGAGAGCAUGGGUAGCGAACAGGAUUAGAUACCCUGGUAGUCCAUGCCGUAAACGGUGGGCGCUAGGUGUAGGGGGCUUCCACGUCUUCUGUGCCGUAGCUAACGCAUUAAGCGCCCCGCCUGGGGAGUACGGCCGCAAGGCUAAAACUCAAAGGAAUUGACGGGGGCCCGCACAAGCGGCGGAGCAUGUGGAUUAAUUCGAUGCAACGCGAAGAACCUUACCUGGGCUUGACAUACACCAGAACGGGCCAGAGAUGGUCUUUCCCUUGUGGUUGGUGUACAGGUGGUGCAUGGUCGUCGUCAGCUCGUGUCGUGAGAUGUUGGGUUAAGUCCCGCAACGAGCGCAACCCUUGUCUUAUGUUGCCAGCAUUUUAGUUGGGGACUCAUGGGAGACUGCCGGGGUUAACUCGGAGGAAGGUGGGGAUGACGUCAAAUCAUCAUGCCCCUUAUGUCCAGGGCUUCACACAUGCUACAAUGGUCGGUACAACGCGCAGCGACGCUGUGAGGUGGAGCGAAUCGCUGAAAGCCGGCCUUAGUUCGGAUUGGGGUCUGCAACUCGACCCCAUGAAGUCGGAGUCGCUAGUAAUCGCAGAUCAGCAAUGCUGCGGUGAAUACGUUACCGGGCCU
rnacentral:rRNA from 1 species